rnacentral:rRNA from 1 species
UCGGGAAUUUUGCGCAAUGGACGAAAGUCUGACGCAGCAACGCCGCGUGAGGGAUGAAGGCCUUCGGGUUGUAAACCUCUUUUGUCAGGGACGAUGAUGACGGUACCUGACGAAUAAGCCACGGCUAACUACGUGCCAGCAGCCGCGGUAAUACGUAGGUGGCAAGCGUUGUCCGGAUUUACUGGGCGUAAAGAGCGCGCAGGCGGUCGUUCAAGUCGCGUGUGAAAGCCCCCGGCUCAACUGGGGAGGGUCACGCGAUACUGGUCGACUCGAAGGCAGGAGAGGGUAGUGGAAUUCCCGGUGUAGUGGUGAAAUGCGUAGAUAUCGGGAGGAACACCAGUGGCGAAGGCGACUACCUGGCCUGUUUCUUGACGCUGAGGCGCGAAAGCUAGGGGAGCAAACGGGAUUAGAUACCCCCGGUAGUCCUAGCCGUAAACGAUGGACACUAGGUGUCGGUGGUAUCAACCCCGCAGUGCCGAAGCUAACGCAUUAAGUGUCCCGCCUGGGGAUAUGGCCG